rnacentral:tRNA from 1 species
GGGGAUCUAUUUUAAUUGAAAAUAUUAGAUUGUAAAUCUAAAGAUAUUGAUUCUUG